rnacentral:rRNA from 1 species
UACGGGGGGGGCAAGCGUUGUUCGGAAUUACUGGGCGUAAAGGGCCAGUAGGCGGCCAACUAAGUCCGACGUGAAAUCCCAAGGCUUAACCUUGGAACUGCGUCGGAUACUGGAUGGCUUGAGUUCGGGAGAGGGAUGCGGAAUUCCAGGUGUAGCGGUGAAAUGCGUAGAUAUCUGGAGGAACACCGGUGGCGAAGGCGGCAUCCUGGACCGACACUGACACUGAGGAGCAAAAGCCAGGGGAGCAAACGGG